CAGUUACUCCCUCCGUUCGGAAUUACUUGUCUCGGAAAUGGAUGUAUCUAGAACUAAAAUAUGUCUAGAUACAUCCAUUUCUACGACAAGUAAUUCCGAACGGAGGGAGUACAUC
rnacentral:pre_miRNA from 1 species